CCCUCCUCGGCUCCUCUGUUUCCCACCACAACACCCCAUGUCCGCCAGCAGCGGACCCACCGCCCUCUCCGCCUCCGAUCCGCCGCUCGCCGGGGAGGCCUCUGGUCUCGGGGCCGUCUCCAGACCAUGGUCACCACUGCCACCAUCUCCCUCCUACAGCACGUUCGACCUUCGGCUUUUGGCGGUAGUCUUCUCCCCCUUCCCCUCCAGCGCCUCCGUCCUAUUCACUGCCAACGCUCGGCGCCAGCCUCCCAUCACUCCCUCCAUCGCAGUCUCCACCUCCAUCUCCCCAUCGUCAGGCCCUGUUCAC
rnacentral:misc_RNA from 1 species